GAGAGAGCUAGCGGUCCUUACCUGCGGCGUACGGACUGCUCUGGUGGUCCCUGAGGGUGCCCAGGCUGCAGGAUCCCGGCGUGAGGGACGGGCAACCGGACGUGGCCCCAAAAGUGGUCCUUAUCGGGUUAUACUGGAAGCCACUGGCCUGGCUGCAGGAACUGAAGUCUGCAUAUGCUGAAGCCAAGCUGGAGGUAUCCAUCCCGGCCAUACAGGACUCGUAGGCAGAGGAAUUGAGGGAGAAGAAACCUUGAUGUCAUAGAAAACCUGUUUUGUAAGAGUGUUACACGCUCAAUUUAACAACAAGCCUUCCCCCGAAGUGCAUGAAAUGCUAUAAAGGACUGGGACAUUGGCAAGACUCAGGCGCCCUGUAACAUAGCCACCUCCCAAGACUACAUGUGACUGGAGCAGAUUUACAAACAGCAGGGAGAGAGCUGCAGGUGGUGCUGGAAUCUCAGACAUAGCUCAUUGCCAAGGACCUCAAGAAGUCAUUGAAUCCAUCCCUCUGCCUCCAGGCCUGCUUGCUCCUCCAAUCAAUUCUUGAUAAAGAAGAGAGAAUAAGGCGGGACUUCCACCAGCCAGAGGAAGGAGAAAGAUUGAAGUUUGAGCCACAGAGGAAGGUGUCUGGAAAGGGAUCAUGGAAACCCACCUGAAGCCCAAAAAGCGAGAUGAAUAAUAAAAUUCAAAUCCAAGUAUCAUGAGGGAAGUUGGUCGAGAGGUAGCCAAUUAGCUUAGGGAAAUUAUUAUAAGUAGUUUGACUGUCCAGAUACCGAGGUGAAGGCUUAAAACAAAACUUUUGUCUUUCUUUGUUAUUAUUUGGAACUAGCUAGGAUAAAGACAUACAACCACUGUAUUAAUUUACUACUUAAAUGUAUAUUAAAAGUUAUAUUUACAAAAAAUAAUAAAUUAAGAAUAUAAUAAAGCAAGGCAGAUCUCAGAUGAGUAAAACAGAAUGCUACUACUGUAUUCCAUUGCGGUAAAGGGAAUCAUGGGAGUGUGAGCAUCGCCACGGGAGGCUGGCAAUGGUGGUCUCUUGUUAGAACUGUGAGCGACAUUUUCUUCCUUGUACUUUUCUGAGAUUUCCAAGGAUUCUCUGUAAACAUGUUAUGUUUUAUAACUGGGAAAAACAUGCAUUAAUCUUCCCCUCUCUUAUUCAGUUUCAAUAAAAAGAUACUACUUUGGUUUGUUCAUA